CCAGACAAUUGAUUAGUCGCUUUUGUUUAUAAAGACAAGAGAGGAAAGUCCGGACUCUAUAAGAACACGGUGCCAGAUAACAUCUGGCGGGGGAAACCCCAGGGAUAGUGCCACAGAAAAUAUACCGCCUAAUCAAGGCAAGGGUGAAAAGGUGCGGUAAGAGCGCACCGGUUUUUUGGUAACAAAAAAUGCAUGGAAAACCCCACCGGGAGCAAGACCAAAUAGAGAUGGCAGGGUCUAAUUUUUUAUUUAGGCCAAAAACAGUUCUUAGUUAGCUAUCAGGGUUGGUUGCUAGAGGUUAAGUGUGAACUUUAUCCCAGAUAAAUGACUAAUUUAAAUGACAGAAUCCGGCUUAUAGAUUGUCUGGCGCA
rnacentral:RNase_P_RNA from 1 species